GGAAGGAUCAUUACAGAAUUGUCAACGGGUUGUUGCUGGUCCUCGAACGGGGACAUGUGCACGCUCUGUUUACACAUCCACUCACACCUGUGCACCCUCCGUAGUUCUGUGGUCUGGGGGACCCCUGUCCUCCUGCCGUGGUUCUAUGUCUUUACACACACACUGUAAUAAAGUAUUAUGGAAUGCAUGCCGCGUCUAACGCAAUACAAUACAACUUUCAGCAACGGAUCUCUUGGCUCUCGCAUCGAUGAAUAACGCAGCGAAAUGCGAUAAGUAAUGUGAAUUGCAGAAUUCAGUGAAUCAUCGAAUCUUUGAACGCACCUUGCGCCCCUUGGCUAUUCCGAGGGGCAUGCCUGUUUGAGUAUCAUGAACACCUCAACUCUCACGGUUCGCCGUGAUGAGCUUGGACUCUGGGGGUUUUGCUGGCCUGCGGUCGGCUCCCCUCAAAUGAAUCAGCCUCCCAGUGUUUGGUGGCAUCACGGGUGUGAUAAAUAUCUACGCUCGCAGUUGUCCGCCAGGUAACCUUUGGUGACAAAGGUUCGCUGGAGCUCACAGAUGUCUCUCCUCAGCGAGGACAGCUUUUUGAACGUUCGAUCUCAAAUCAGGUAGGACUACCCGCUGAACUUAAGCAUAUCAAUAAGCGGAGGAAAA
rnacentral:sRNA from 1 species